AUGGCUCCUACGAUCAUCAAUAGCGAUGCAGUCCAGGGUGAGACCUUCCUCCCCGGACAGAUCUUUGUCUUCGGCGGCUUCGCACUGCGGGCCAAUUCACUUGGCCAUCUGGAGCAGAUCGAAAGCUACACCCCUGGCCAUCAUGUCAGAUUUGGAAGUUUAAACUACACGGCUGACAUCCGCGGGGACUUGAUCUUCGACGGAUUCGAUCCACUGCCGAGCGCGCCGCACUGUCGCGAAAAGCAUGAUCUAGCUCUGCCGCCGAACAGUGCCCUGAAGGCCGCACCCGCAUCGGCUUCGGCCCUUAAUUCGGAGCCAACCGCACCGAUCAAGGAUGGAUGGUUGGACACCGCCUCGGGGGCUGCGAUCCUAACGGUGAUUGAGCCAAACACCAGCCCCGCACUCCACGAGACUCAUGAUUCCAAGGAGCCGGACUCCUCUCCGGACUCCGAGCCACUCGCGCCUCUGCCGAUCGAAUCCGAUUGGGUGCCGAUCAUGGAGUUUACUGCUGCGGACAUCUUUCAGCACUCGCCCUUUGGCGAUAUUAUGAAAUCACUAAAGUCUCUCUCUUUAUCAGGAGAGCCUUGGCCGGACUACAGUCAGCGAGAUUGGGAUACGGACGGUGAAGAAAUUCAAAGCCCACCCACCACUCACUUUGUAGCCACCGUCGACGAUUUAACCGACAUGCUCGACUUCGACUCUGAAGACAUCGACGGUAUGGACGCCGAUGAAGGAGACGAUGAAAAACCAGCACCUAUUGGGCCCUGGAACACCACCUCGUCAUAUGACGUAUACAUGGUGGACGCACAAAAAGAUGACGACAAGGAGCAGAAGGACGCACCGAAGGCUUGUUCCCUCGAAAAGCAGUCAAAGCAGCGACGCAAGCGCCGCCCCAAAUCCCGCCUCGACAGAAAUAGUGAUCACACAAACCCAACGCUGGAGCAGGGCGAACCGCUGCCGGACAACGGCAAUCCGGAUAAUCAAACCGAACAAACAAAUCUUAUCAAGGAUAAUGGUCCGGAUGACAUAACACUGGACAGGCACCCGGAGCAGCAGACUGCCCGUAAAAGGCUCGUUGCCACCGCGAGGAGUCUGAAAAAGCAGAAGCAAAGGCUCAAGGCCGCGCAAGACACACUUCAAAUCAGAUGGAGUAAAAUACUCAACACAGCAGCAAGGUACGACGACAAUCGCCCCUCCAAGAGCUACCCAAAACGGAAGCUGCUACCUGAAUUCGAUGAGGAGGCCUCAGACCCCCCACAACCAAAUAUCAAAGCAGCCAUCUGGUCGGAUAGACGACCCCUCUACCAACACAGGGCGGCAUACAACGCCGCUCACCAUACAACACACAACCAAUGCGAGGGCUCGCACCCAAAGGACGGUGCAACAAGAUCCAUCUAUGGACCACGCAAGCGCGCCCUAGCAUACAAUGCAACACAACAAACAUCCGAACAACGCGGUACACCCAACUAUAGGGGUGCCGCACACCCCCUAUGUUUCACCGAUGAGGUGCUGGACCACGAAUUUCCAGAGGGAUUGAAGCCCGUAAACAUAGAGGCAUACGACGGAACAACAGACCCUGGGGUCUGGAUUGAGGACUACAUCCUUAAUAUCCAUAUCGCUCGAGGAGAUGAUCUCCACGCCAUCAAGUACCUACCCCUCAAGCUCAAAGGGCCAGCUCGUCACUAG
rnacentral:rRNA from 1 species